CCUACGGGAGGCAGCAGUGGGGAAUAUUGCACAAUGGGGGAAACCCUGAUGCAGCGACGCCGCGUGAAGGAUGAAGUAUUUCGGUAUGUUAACUUCUAUCAGCAGGGAAGCAAAUGACGGUACCUGACUAAGAAGCCCCGGGUAACCACGUGCCAGCAGCCGCGGUUAUACGGGGGGGGCAAGCGUUAUUCGGAUUUACUGGGGGUUAAGGGAGCGUAGACGGGAUGGCAAGUCUGAUGUGAAAACGCGGGGCUCAACCCCGGGACUGCAUUGGAAACUGUCAGGCUAGAGUGUCGGAGAGGCAAGUGGAAUGCCUAGUGUAGCGGUGAAAUGCGUAGAUAUUAGGAGGAACACCAGUGGCGAAGGCGGCUUGCUGGACGAUGACUGACGUUGAGGCACGAAAGCGUGGGGAGCGAACAGGAUUAGAUACCCCAGUAGUC
rnacentral:rRNA from 1 species